CUUCUCUUGAUUUCUAUUCUAUUUAGGUUGGGGGGUAGUGUGGGGAGGAAGAGAACAAGUCACGCUAGGCUCUACUCUUCACUCUGCUCCGAGGCUCUGCCUCCUCCCUCAUAAAGCAGCCAGUCAUUACUGUCACGGAGAGCUAUUUUUAUGUUAUCUAAAUGCUAUCAGUUUCAAUGUUAUCUAUUUCCCGCCCUGCUAUCUUGACUUCCCUUUCCGGGGGCGGGGGGAGCCCUCCACACGCGCAGGCUCAUGGCGUGGGUGGGUGGGCAACACCCCCAUCCCGGAGCACACGAGUGAGACUAAGCCAACGGGGCCAGGACCAAGAUUCUGGUUGAAACCACGGGGAAGGACAUUCUCUUCCUUGGCUGGGAGCUGAGGGGAUAUAGGCUGGUGGCCAGCUUGUCCCCACAAAGGCUAGUCCUGCCUGGGAAGAGAGGCAUUGUGGGGAGAAGCAAGCUUGAGAGAAGAGAAGCCAUGAAAAUGUCAAAUGACAUCCUGGAAGCCUCUGGAACCGGUACAGCCGCAAAGUCGGUCCCCUCCAGGAUUAAUCUGCCAGAGGAAAUUAUGAGGGCUGUGUGUGCUAUGACUUCCCAAAUCGAUGCCAGUUCUCGGCUCAAUUCAGAAAUUGGAGCAUGGGAAGAUUUGUGGCCAGAGGUAAUGGAGGCACCCUCUGGUAGAUGGGAAUUCCCAAAGGACUUGGGGAGGUUGGCCAGAGGCCGAAUUCAGCCUCCAUCAGUGGCUGGUGAUCCUGGACAAAUCCCUCCCUUUCCCCGGUACCGUGGCUGAAUUUGUCACGAGAGGGAGUUGAGCCAGGAGGACCGGAGCUUACAUGCAAGAGGCAUUGCCCAUGCCGUCCUCCCCUGUACUUAAUGCUUUGGUGACCUCAACCUGCUUGUCAUUCCCCAAAUGCAUUGUUUUGCCUCUGUACCCUUGAGAGCGCUUGUCUCCUGUGAAAUGCCACCCUCACACACUUUCAUCAGUCCUCAGCACCCUGAUCAAGUGUCCCCUCCUCCGCCUCCUUGGGCAGAGAGGGUAAGGGCCUCCACCUGGGCUGCUGUUGUCAUCUGUCGCCCCCACCAGACUGUGAGUCGCUUGAAGGCAAAUCCAGGCCUGAUUAAGGUUGGCCGGUGACCUGGCACAGAGCAAAUAUUCAG
rnacentral:lncRNA from 1 species